UGUGCCUACGGGACGCAGCAGUGAGGAAUAUUGGUCAAUGGGCGCAAGCCUGAUGCAGCGACGCCGCGUGCGGGAUGGAGGCCUUCGGGUUGUAAACCGCUUUUGUUCAAGGGCAAGGCACGGUCUUUGGCCGUGUUGAGUGGAUUGUUCGAAUAAGCACCGGCUAACUACGUGCCAGCAGCCGCGGUAAUACGUAGGGUGCAAGCGUUAUCCGGAUUUAUUGGGCGUAAAGGGCUCGUAGGCGGUUCGUCGCGUCCGGUGGGAAAGUCCAUCGCUUAACGGUGGAUCCGCGCCGGGGACGGGCG
rnacentral:rRNA from 1 species